rnacentral:rRNA from 1 species
UUCCUACGGGAGGCAGCAGUGAGGAAUAUUGGUCAAUGGCCGGAAGGCUGAACCAGCCAAGCCGCGUGAAGGACGAAGGUGCCAAGCAUUGUAAACUUCUUUUGUCAAGGGACAAAAUCAGGCUCGAGAGCCUGACCGAGGGUACUUGAAGAAAAAGCAUCGGCUAACUCCGUGCCAGCAGCCGCGGUAAUACGGAGGAUUCAAGCGUUAUCCGGAUUUAUUGGGUUUAAAGGGUGCGUAGGCGGUUCGAUAAGUUAGAGGUGAAAUCCCGGGGCUCAACUCCGGCACUGCCUCUGAUACUGUCG